AUACGUAGGGGGCGAGUGUUGUCCGGAAUGAUUGGGCGUAAAGGGCGCGUAGGCGGCCCGGUAAGUCUGGAGUGAAAGUCCUGUUUUUAAGAUGGGAAUUGCUUUGGAUACUGUCGGGCUUGAGUGCAGGAGAGGUAGGUGGAAUUCCCAGUGUAGCGGUGAAAUGCGUAGAGAUUGGGAGGAACACCAGUGGCGAAGGCGUCUUACUGGACUGUAACUGACGCUGAGGCGCGAAAGUGUGGGGAGCAAACAGGAUUAGAUACCCUGGUAGUCCACACUGUAAACGGUGAAUGCUAGGUGUAGGGGGUAUCGACCCCUUCUGUGCCGCAGUCAACACAAUAAGCAUUCCGCCUGGGGAGUACGGCCGCAAGGUUGAAACUCAAAUGAAUUGGCGGGG
rnacentral:rRNA from 1 species